UGCGGAAGGAUCAUUACUGAAUUGUCAAACGGGUUGUUGCUGGCCCUCAUAGGGGGCAUGUGCACGCUCUGUUUACACAUCCACUCACACCUGUGCACCCUCUGUAGUUCUAUGGUCUGGGGGACCCUGUCUUCCUUCUGUGGUUCUACGUCUUUACACACACACUGUAAUAAAGUUUUAUGGAAUGUACAUCGCGUCUAACGCAAUACAAUACAACUUUCAGCAACGGAUCUCUUGGCUCUCGCAUCGAUGAAGAACGCAGCGAAAUGCGAUAAGUAAUGUGAAUUGCAGAAUUCAGUGAAUCAUCGAAUCUUUGAACGCACCUUGCGCCCCUUGGCUAUUCCGAGGGGCAUGCCUGUUUGAGUAUCAUGAACACCUCAACUCUCAUGGUUUGCCAUGAUGAGUUGGACUCUGGGGGUUUUGCUGGCCUGUGGUCGGCUCCUCUCAAAUUAAUCAGCCUCCCAGUGUUUGGUGGCAUCACGGGUGUGAUAAAUAUCUACGCUCGCUGUUGUCUGCCAGGUAACCUUUGGUCACAAAGGUUUGCUGGAGCUCACAGAUGUCUCUCCUCAGCGAGGACAGCUUUUUUAACGUUCGAUCUCAAAUCAGGUAG
rnacentral:rRNA from 1 species